GAGUUUACAUACUACUAGCAAAGAGUCUAGUGAAUAUGUAUCUUUGAUCAUGCAAAUGUAUUUCCGGUGAUUGUAGAAGUGGUAAAUAAAAGUUCGCUCAAAAAUCGGUGGUCUAACCGACUAUUUUUGUCCGUAGGAUCUGAGUGAAUAACCGCUGUUGAUUCAGAUAUAUAACCCUAACCCUAAGAGGCAUAAGAGACGUCAUUUCUCUCCUCCUUUUCUCUUUCUUCUUCGAGCACUAUUUUCUCCAUCUUCACCAUUGACAUCACCAGACUAAAACUAGUAAACUACCAAUCUACCACAAUCUUUUUUCCCCUUCUUCUUCAUCGUAGAGUCAAUUAAUUAAGCACCGAAGGGAAAUGCAAGAUUAUAAUUCAGCACCUUCGAAAUUGUUGAGCUUGGAAAUCAAAGCAGGAGAAGCAAGUAAUUGGCUCUAGAUCUGAUUGAUAAAUUUGGUGGAAGUGUAGGUUGGAGCGAUGUAUAAUAUGAAAAUUGGCAAUUGAUGUGAUUAUGAAUUCAAUGAAGGUGAUGACUCUAUUCAGCAGACCCUGAUUGUCAGACUUGGAAACCUGCUCCUGCUCUUUGUUUUGGCGUUCAUACUUGCAAGGCAGGAGUUCUUGUGCACUUGAAGAACGACUAGAUGAAAGUUGAUGUCAUUAUUUAAUCAAGCACUUAUAUUGUAUUUGACAUUAAAAAAAAUCGAUUUGAUAUGUUUAUUUGUAAAUUAGCUUUAGUAAAAUUGUAAAUUGUCUGUCAGAUCCAGACAAGGGACAAAAAUAAAAAAAAAGUUGUAUGACUCUGCCGGUUAACCGAAACCGGCCGGUUUUUAACCGAACCGAGUAAAACCGAUUAAGUUUAAUGGUUUCAUCGGUCUUCAAUACUAGAAAACCGACUCUUUCGGUUUAUGUUUUA